rnacentral:rRNA from 1 species
UACAUGAAGCUGGAAUCGCUAGUAAUCGCGGAUCAGAAUGCCGCGGUGAAUACGUUUCCGGGUCUCGUACACACCGCCCGUCACACCAUGGGAGUCGGAAAUGCCCGAAGUCUGUGACCCAACCUACGGGAGGGAGCAGCCGAAGGCAGGUCGGAUGACUGGGGUGAAGUCGUAACAAGGUAAC